rnacentral:rRNA from 1 species
GAUGAACGCUAGCGGCAGGCUUAAUACAUGCAAGUCGAGGGGCAGCAGGUCCGUAGCAAUACGGAUGCUGGCGACCGGCAAACGGGUGCGGAACACGUACACAACCUUCCUUUAAGCGGGGAAUAGCCCGGGGAAACCCGGAUUAAUACCCCAUAGUAUAUUGAAGAGGCAUCUCUUUACUAUUAAAGAUUUAUCACUUGAAGAUGGGUGUGCGGCUGAUUAGCUAGUUGGCGGGGUAACGGCCCACCAAGGCAACGAUCAGUAACUGGUGUGAGAGCACGACCAGUCACACGGGCACUGAGACACGGGCCCGACUCCUACGGGAGGCAGCAGUAAGGAAUAUUGGUCAAUGGACGAAAGUCUGAACCAGCCAUGCCGCGUGGAGGAUGAAGGUCCUCUGGAUUGUAAACUUCUUUUAUAUGGGACGAAAAAAGGCCUUUCCAGGUCGUCUGACGGUACCAUAUGAAUAAGCACCGGCUAACUCCGUGCCAGCAGCCGCGGUAAUACGGAGGGUGCAAGCGUUAUCCGGAUUCACUGGGUUUAAAGGGUGCGUAGUGGGUUGGUAAGUCAGUGGUGAAAUCCCCGAGCUUAACUUGGGAACUGCCAUUGAUACUAUCAAUCUUGAAUACCGUGAGGUCAGCGGAAUAUGUCAUGUAG